CCUACGGGGGGCUGCAGUGGGGAAUCUUCCGCAAUGGGCGAAAGCCUGACGGAGCAACGCCGCGUGAGUGAGGAAGGCCUUCGGGUCGUAAAACUCUGUCUUCAGGGAAGAAAAAAAUGACGGUACCUGAGGAGGAAGCCCCGGCUAACUACGUGCCAGCAGCCGCGGUAAAACGUAGGGGGCGAGCGUUGUCCGGAAUUACUGGGCGUAAAGGGCGCGUAGGCGGUUAUUUAAGUCAGAGGUGAAAACUACCGGCUCAACCGGUAGCCUGCCUUUGAAACUGGAUGACUUGAGGGCAGGAGAGGGGAGUGGAAUUCCCAGUGUAGCGGUGAAAUGCGUAGAUAUUGGGAGGAACACCAGUGGCGAAGGCGGCUCUCUGGCCUGUUUCUGACGCUGAGGCGCGAAAGCGUGGGGAGCAAACGGGAUUAGAUACCCCUGUAGUC
rnacentral:rRNA from 1 species